CCUACGGGUGGCAGCAGUGAGGAAUAUUGGUCAAUGGACGAGAGUCUGAACCAGCCAAGUAGCGUGAAGGAUGACUGCCCUAUGGGUUGUAAACCUCUUUUAUAAAGGAAUAAAACGAGGCACGUGUGCAUUAUUGAAUGUACUUUAUGAAUAAGGCACGGCUAACUCCGUGCCAGCAGCCGCGGUAAUACGGAGGAUCCGAGCGUUAUCCGGAUUUAUUGGGUUUAAAGGGAGCGUAGAUGGGUUUUUAAGUCAGUUGUGAAAGUUUGCGGCUCAACCGUAAAAUUGCAAUUGAUACUGGCAGUCUUGAGUGCAGGUGAGGUAGGCGGAAUUCUUGGUGUAGCGGUGAAAUGCUUAGAUAUCACGAAGAACCCUGAUUGCGAAGGCAGCUUACUAAACUGUGACUGACAUUGAUGCUCGAAAGUGUGGGGAUCAAACAGGAUUAGAUACCCGUGUAGUC
rnacentral:rRNA from 1 species